CUGCUGGAUGUACUUGCUGGCUCAUUCUGUCUCAUGGAUAAACAUCUUCCAUUCUCUCCCCAUGGCAUUGGCACAGAGCACCCCCAAAGCUUCACCUCAAGGAUCCCGGGCUCCUCACUGCUUCAGGGAUAUGUUGCAUCUUCUUUCUGGAUAUACUUCAUGAGAGUACAGCAGGAGGCUAGAUGUGUUUUGCAUCAGCUGCAUCAAUCUGGAAUUUGUACAGAUGUCCUGAAUUUUGCAAUGUUCUCACUUGCAUGAGGCACCUCUCCCAAAGCACUGAUGCCACGGAGAGGGUGUCCCACGAGGCAAGCAGCACUGCUGAGAGUGCUGCAGCCCUGCCAGAGCAGUGACCU